CUUUGAAACAUCCGCCGUGUGUAAAAAAAAAAUUAGAAAGGAAAGUCUGUCUAGAUCCAAAUCAACAAUUUCUUACACCGAUUCGAUCCAUCCAAAUUUUGUAGAUUAAUCGUGGGAGCCGAUACAAAGGUUGAUAAAACUGCACUUCAUUGUAUCAUACUUUUAACAUGAAAAGUUAAAGGUAAUCAACUACAUGUGGAAUAUGCAAAAUCAAUAAACAUUUAUUUCAUCUAUCCUUGUAUUACAAAUAAACAUUAGAACUGAGAAUGAGAGUUAACCAAAAACAUCUUUUAUAAGAAACAUAAUAGCCAUUAGAAAGAAGAUUCUUUAGCCUUGUGUCAUCUUCUUGAUAGUCUUUCGCUUUGGAGCCUGUAAAUGAAAUCAAGAAACAAAUUAUAUUAGUUUAAUUAGAGAUACGAAUAAGUCAAACUUUUAGUCUAGAUGCUUACAUUGUUGUGACAUGACCAUGACAAUACUUUUGGAUCUCGAAUAUGAUAUAGUUAUAAAAUGAGUACAGAUUGUAUAAGAAACACACCACUCGAUAGUAAUAAAAUCCGCUUUUGGUUUUGGUGUUGUUAUGAGCUGUGGUGAAAGAGAACUAUAUAUAGUGUCAAUGAGAGAAUAGGGUGUUAUGUGAGUGCUUAAAAAUAGGCUUGUGAGUAGAUUUUUGUUAGGAGUUUAUGGAAUAUGCUACUGUAGAAUUAUGGUUUUAUAAGAUAUUAUUGCUUCUCUUACGGUGUAUUAGUAAAUGCUAUUUUCUUUGAUUGUAGAAAAAUGUAAGAAACAAAAUUUGAAAGGAAAGCUGCAAAAUCAAUUUAGUGUAAAUCGUUUAGAUAUUUUAGUUUCUAUUUCCGAAAAUAACUUAAUGCUGUUUUAUUUGUUUGCAGAAGAAUUGAAUCUUAAAAAAUUGAAAAGGAAAUUCGUAAUCAAGUGGAGAGAAUAUAGGAAGAAUACAAAGGAAUAAUAUUUAUAUAUUUAAUAAUAAAUGGCAAUGGCAGGGUUGUAAAUAAGUUAGAACUUGAGGAAUUUUUUCAUAAAUGUUUCUGAAAAUGUAUAUAUAGAUUUCUAACUUUCAAAUUUGAGACGUUUUAGUCACCAACUUUUAAGAUGCCAUUUUAAUCACAAAUUUUUCGUUGA